UAUUCACCAGUUGUCUGCAGGCUGCAGACACUUCAAGCCCCAGAGUGACAGGAAAGCCAAAUUAGCUUGUGAAACUUUAAUCUCCUAUAACUCAAUUAUUUAAUAUCUGAGCCACACUUUCUUCAAAGGAAUACCUCUCCCCUUCCCCGGCUGGAGCUUUUCAAUCUCGUCUGCGGAGAACUCACCGACUUCAAAUCUCUGCCCUGAGAUGAGAUUUCUUCCUUGCAACCGCAUUCAAGAUGUUUAGUCAAUGAGAGAAAACCACGGAUAUUUUAGCCAUUGCCUCAAUCCAUCCAUCAAUAUUCUCUAGCUGAUUUCGAGGCAGGAUACACCCUGGACUGGUCGCCAGACAGUGGCAGCCGCACUCUAUCCAUCCAUAAAGUAGUAGUUUGACUCUUGUCCUACCUUUACUAUCAAUUUAAGAGGCAUUGCCCUGAACAAUAAAAACACUUGGACCAUCUAAA